rnacentral:rRNA from 1 species
UACGGAGGGUGCGAGCGUUGUCCGGAAUCAUUGGGCGUAAAGGGCGCGUAGGCGGCCUUCUAAGUCAGACGUGAAAUCCCCCGGCUUAACCUGGGAACUGCGUCUGAUACUGGAGGGCUUGAGUGCGGGAGAGGGAUGUGGAAUUCCAGGUGUAGCGGUGAAAUGCGUAGAUAUCUGGAGGACCACCGGUGGCGAAGGCGGCAUCCUGGACCGACACUGACGCUGAGGCGCGAAAGCUAGGGUAGCAAACGGG